UAUGUGGGUCUCCCCAAAAAGUAUCAACGUAUGGCCUCACGCACUCAAGUGCGGGAGUAGAGCACUGGUUCGACUAGGGGGGCACCCCGGCUUACCAACCCGAUGCAAACUACGAAUACCGAAGAAUGGUACCACGGGAGACACACGGCGGGUUCUAACGUCCGUGGUGAAGAGGGAGAAAACACAGACCGACAGCUAGGGUCCCGAAGGCACGGUUACGUGUGAUACGAUGUGGGAAGGCACUGGCAGCUGGGUUGUUGGGUUAGAAGCCGCAAUCGUUUAAAGACAGCGUAAUAGCUCACUGGGCGAGUCGGCCUGCGCGGAAGCUAGAACGGGGCUAAACCAUGCGCCGAAGCUGCGGCAGCGACACUAUGUGUUGUUGGGUAGGGGAGCGUUCUGUAAGCCGUU
rnacentral:rRNA from 1 species